rnacentral:lncRNA from 10 species
UGCAUUUUGAUCUGUGUAAUAAGUACACUCAAAAUAUUGGGACUAAGUCAUCUUUUUAAUACAGUUUUUAAAUAUAUUAAAAGUUUUUCAAAGGAUUUUGUUAAUCAAUUUGUACCUUCUGGUUAUAUUGGACAGUACUAUUUGGAAACACUGCUAUGAUUUGAAUGUGUUCCCUCUAAAAUGCAGGUGUUAAAACUUAAUGGCAGUGUGAUGGUAUUAAGAGGUGAGGGCCUUGGUGUACCCAUCAACCCAUCAUCUAUAUUAGGUAUUUCUCCUAAUGUUAUCCCACCAUGGCACAUGUAUACCUAUGUAACAAACCUGCAUGUUCUGCACAUGUAUCCCAGAACUUAAGGUAUAAUAAACAAAGAAAAAAAUUCACCCAACACAUCUUUCAAGGUUUAGAUCACAUUCUACCUUCUACAGAGAAAAAAAGAAAACACAAACAAAACUCCUCAAAACAAUAUAGUACUAUAAUUAGCCAGUUUUUAUACUCAUUAAGCCUUCACCUUAAGUUCAGUCUAUAUCCAAAGCAAAUGUACACUGUAGAUCAUUGUUCUGUGUAGUUUUUGGAUGUUUUCAGUCUUCCUAUCUAGGUGGUUCAGUUGUAGAUACAGACCUCUGAAAGGCAGUGUAACUGCAGAGCAAAGAGCUGUUUUAUUUAUUUAUUUAUUUAUUUAUUUAUUUAUUUAUUUAUUUCCUUUCUCUGUCUCUCUUUCCCCCGCCCCACGCCCCCCUUUCACAGACAGGGUCUCGUUCUGUUGCCCAGCUGGAAUGCAUCAUAGCUCACUAUAACCUCAAACUCCUGGUCUCAAGCAUGAGCCACCAUGCCUGACCCCAUAUAAUUUCAAUACUAAAUUAGGGUUUCAUUUUUGCUGCUGGUGUUGAAUAGAUUCAUACCACAGAUAACACCAAAGCUGUGAUAACAGAGAAAACAUUUUGAAAGGCUGUUACAUUUCUCUUGGUUGAAACCAUUUAAAAUUAAUAAGUCAGAAGUAGACAGGAUUAUUAGUCCUACUCUCAACUGGAGAGGACAAAUACUACUUCCUACAUACCUACAUGUGAAGGUUACCAGGUUGUUGUCUUAACAGCCCACAGUCCUACUCAUUCUCAUAUCAGGGUCUCCAUAUAGAAACAUAGAAACACGUUCACAGUGUACUUCUUGCUUUAUCUACAAAUAUCUUUACGGCGAACUGAUUACACCAACAUAUUUUUCUUCCCAAUUCAUUUGGCAAAAGUAUUUACAGUUGUUUAGAAAGACUAUAGAAUUACAAGUGCAGGAAAGGCAGCAAAGUUUCCAGCUCAGAUUUUGAUAUGACAUGUGUUGUAUCUCAAACUAAUUAUAACUUUCUUUUUCUAGGGUUCAUGAGGGAUUUUCCUGAUUGUUCCCACCUCCAGUGCUGCCAGCUUGCCCCUUUGCUCCCCUCCUUCUACCUAUUUCCUACUCGUUAUAAUCUGAUUUUAUCUCUGCCUACUAUCAAUUAACCUAUUCACUACAUUCUAACCACAAGAGAUUCCCAUCUGUUGACCCUGGGCUGAGCAUGUCCUGGAACUGAUUUCAUUUUUUCAGCAAGUAUUUAUUGGACAUCUCCUGCAUGCCAGCCAAUGGGCCUUCUUUUCACUUUGACUUCUAGUAUUCAGGUGUCCUCCACCUCUUCAUGGGUUUUCACAAGACUUCUCACGUCCUAGCUUCACACUAAUUUUAUGUACAGUUACUCUUAACUUUAACGAUUCUCAAUAAGGUAAUUUUUUGCCCUCUGUAAAUUUCUCUAGUUCCAAUUAUAUUCCCAUUCAAAUCGUUUUGUUUAGCUUUACUUUCUCUACCAUCUUAUGACAUGUACUUUCAUAAUUUUGAUGGACUUCAACCAUCUUCUUAAUCUGCUUUCUUUUAAAUGCAUGCCUAACUUUUGUACUAGCUAAUUUAUGUCUAAGAUUUUGUUAUCUUGAUAAGCAUCAUUCAUAGCUUUUCUAGCUUAUUAAUGUCUUUUCAGAUAUCAUGUUUGUAGGGGAUCAGUCAGUGUGGUUAGAAACAUUGUAAGAUGAAAUUAUAGAAUAUAGACACAAACCUUGGAAGGCUGGAAGGUUUGCAUAGCUUCAGUAAUAGAUCUGGCAUGAAGGCAGCCUAAUCUUUACCUUGAGUAGAUAGCUUAAAGUAGGUACAAAAUAAUGUAAGGGAGUUUAUCUAAAUAACUUGUUUACUCAUGUGUUGCUAAGACUAACCUUUGAUCAUUGGCAGGCAGGAUGGCUCUCUUGGGGGGAGGGCAACCAGGUUAAUUACCCACAGGUGUAUUGACUCAAAGUCUUUGUCAUUUAAUCUAACUAAAUAAAUACGAAUUUGGCUGGCUUAUCUGGGCAAUGCUCCAGACUCAGAGCAGAGCCUCUUAGCCAGACUGACAGGCAAAAUAUCUGUGUCAGUGUAGGUCUCUCAUGUGUCGCCAGGUCAGGGUCUGAGGGUUGGACCUCGAAAAUGUUAACCUGUGAACCAGUGGGCAUCUAGAGGUUGUGUCCCAGAGGAUAGCAACAUUUAACAAGACAAAAAUCUCAGUAAUCAAAUGCAGGAUCUGGAUUGAAGGAAGAAACACAUUACGAAGACAAAUUUGAAACUAAGAAGUCGGGGAAGGUGAGAAUCCAAAGACAGCACUGUGCCGAAAGGCAGAUAAGAUUAUGCCAACAUCAAGCAUAUCUUCACAUUGAUAUUAACAGCCAGAAACAUGAAUUUAUCUUUUGACACCGCCUCACUCAGCUUUAUGAUGGCAUUAAUCUCAAUACUCU